GACGAACGCUGGCGGCGUGCCUAAUACAUGCAAGUCGAACGCAGUGGGGACGGGUGAGUAACACGUGGGUAACCUCCCAUCAGAGGGGAUAACACUUGGAAACAGGUGCUAAACCGAUACUGAUGGAUGGACCCGCGGUGCAUUAGGUAGUUGGUGAUGUAACGGCUCACCAAGGCCACGAUGCAUAGCCGGCCUUAGAGGGGGAUUGGCCACACGUGGACUGAGACACGGCCCAGACUCCUUCGGGAGGCAGCAUUAGGGAAUCUUCGGCAAUGUACGAAAGUCUGACCGAGCAACGCCGCGUGAGUGAAGAAGGUUUUCGGAUCGUAAAACUCUGUUGUUAGAGAAGCGGUAUCUAACCAGAAAGCCACGGCUAACUACGUGCCAGCAGCCGCGGUAAUUC
rnacentral:rRNA from 1 species